AGACACAGGGAGGGCAGCAAGUGGAAGCCUGGAGGUAGCUGAAGCCAUGAUCUAGAAGGAGCCUAGAGAGAGUAAGUGGGGAGAGAAUUCUUUCCCUAACAGCAGACACAACACAGCUGGGUCUCCAGAAUGGCAGAGCCCAGGGGGCGGAGCUCAUGACGCCCACGGCUGAGGGGUCACUUGGGACUCUGGCUCCUGCCUGCCUCUCUGGGAGGCUUUGAGCAGUAUCUUGUUUCCUGGCUUCUUUCUUCUCUGUACACUCUUCCCUUAAGCUCCUUUGCUAACGAGAGCAGGGGCUCUCAAUCUUAGCUAAUAGACUCACCUGUGGAACUUUGAACACAGAUUCUCAGCCUCAUCCCAGAGCUUCUGAAUCAGAAUUCCUAGGGCUGGGGCCAGGAAGGUGUUUUUAGUUUUUUUGGGUUUUAACUCCACAGCUGAUUUCAAUGCUCUACCACCAUCGAGAACUGAAUUAAGGCAACCUGAACAUGCACUUCUGCUCCCUGCAACCUGAGUCAGUUUAAUGCUCAUGGAGCCGACUGUGAACCUCAAUGAUUAAAAAAAAAUGCUCACUUUUUUUUCCUUAUUGUGUUUUAAAACACAUGUACAAAAUUAUAUUUACCUGGAAAAACCAAAUUUCACAUCAACCUAGCAAACCCAAUUAUUUCAAACAACUCCUGAGUUCCAGUUUCUGUUUAGUAGCACGGUGUUACAACACUUAAAGAGUUUCCAGAGCACGUCAGCCACCUUCUGAGGACUUGCUAUGCAGCAGGCACUGUGUUAGGCUCUUUGUACACAUCUGCUCAUUUAUCACCCUGCAAUCUGGACAUUAAUUAUCCUCAUCUUGGAGAUGAUAAAAUAUCAUUUCGGAACGGCUGAUAAUCUGUGUUUUUAAAAGUUCCACGGGUGAGUCUGCUCUGCAGCCAGGAUUGGGAGCCUCUGCUCUGGUUAGUGAAGGAGUGUAAAGGAAAGGUGUCUGUUAAGCUUUCUCAGGUUGCAGAGAAGUUGAGCUCAAAAUUUAAAAACUCAGCACCUAUGGCUUCCAAGUGACCUUGAGCCUUUCCACAUGGCCUCCUGGAUCUAGUAUGGUGGCUGGGCAGUGAUGGGUACAUCUCCUCUAUUUGGGAAAAAGGAUUAUUAAAAACACUCACUUACUGACCCAAAUCAUUGUUUUUAGAAUUAACCCAGGAAGAAAAAAAUUAUCCUAAAAUUAUAAAAAUUUUUUAAAUGUAAAAAAUGAUCCUGGCCAGGCAAGGUGGUUCACACCAGUAAUCCCAGCACUUUGGGAGGCUGAGGUGGGAGGAUCGCUUGAGCCCAGGAGGUUGACACCAGCCUGGGUAACAUAGCAAGACCUCAUCGCUACAAAAAAAAAAAUUUUUUUUUAAUUAUCUGGGCAUGGUGGUGCGUGUCUGUAGUCCCAGCUACUUGAGAGACAGAGGCAGGAGGAUCACUUGAGCCCAGGAGUUUAGAGCUGCAGUGAGCAGUGAUCGCACCACUGUAUUCCAUCCUGGAUGACAGAGCAAGACCCUGUCCCAAGAAAAGAAAGAAACAAUCUUCUUUCCUUUGAUUUGUAUCAGUGAUUUCCUACCUUUCAAGGAUAUAAACUCCAUUGUAAUGCCAAAUAGUCUCACAGGCCCUCACCCACAUGAUAAUUAACGUAGCUAAUUAAAAUGUAUAGCUUCAUUUAAAAGCAUGACUUGAGUAGAUUUUAGCCGUAUUUUCUCAAUUACAAUAGUGUCUAUUUGCUUUUGAACAACAGAAGUACAUUUACGCUGAGGUCUUAUAUUUAUGCACUCUAGAGAAAAUGCAAAAAAAAAAAAAAAAAGCCAUAGAAGAAAUCAUGAAUGUAUCUAAUGAGUUGAAAGUCCUUCUGUCCCCACUGUAAAUAGCAUUCAGCCUUUUCAGUUCCAAAUUAUAGUAAUCUUUAACAUACUCUUGUUGCUUAUAGAAAUAUAGUCACCUAAAUGCAUACUAAUAUUUAUCCGAACAGGUCACAGAAAAAAACUAUCUCACACUCUGAUAAAACUCACAGACUCAUCAUAGUCAAGAGUCUUACCUAAAAAUGAUGAGAGCAAGAGUAAGAGUGUGUUGGUGUCUUCAUUUCCAAAACAUGACGAAGCAUUAGUGAUGUUUUCACUGAAGUUCCAUAAAGUUUUACAAACCAAGCAGGCCAGCUGCCAAUCAGUAGGACCCAAAUCUC
rnacentral:lncRNA from 1 species